AAGGAAAUUCUAUGUUUUGGUUGGGCACUGUAUGCAUCUUUAAUUAUCACUUUUGAUAUUUUUUUUGUUAUGAUUUAUUGUGAUAUUAAUUAUUACAUUAUCUUGAGAAAAAUGUUUGGGAGCUCUAAUGGAGCUCUAGAGAGUGGACCCCACUUAUUGAUGUGAUGUUUUGGCCUUAAGUUUUUUUUUUUUUUUCUUUUUUGAAUUUCCACCUCAUUAGUGGUCAAUUAGUGCUCUAAAUUUAGUGGGAUAAAUCAUUGUUGUUAUCUUGAUUAUGGCUUAUAUAGCAUAUAACUCAAUUUGUUUUUGGUUAUAAAUCUCAUAAUAUUGAGUUAUUACACUUAUAAUAAUCAAAUUCACAAAUGUCAUAAUUUACAUAUAGUACACAUCUUUUUGAGUGUGUACUGAAAUACAAGAUUAUCUUCCUUUUAUAAGGGAAUACAAAAGGGGAAAGUAUUGCCAUUUAGACCCAAAAGUUAGAUCCACAUUUUAAAUCUAGUGAUGUGUUAAGAAGAUGAUUGGUUGAUAAUUAUUAAUCAAUCAUCUUCUUUUAACACAUCACUGGAUCCAUAAAGUGGUUCCAAAAAGUAGACUUGUAUAUAUUUUUUAAGGGAUUGUAAAUAGAUGGGACAGUAACAAUAUAAUUGCACUACAAAUGAGAAUUUUUUUUUUUUUAUGCAAUUCUGACAAACAAGAAGAGUUGUACCAAACAUAUAAAUGAAUUUAUACCAUACAUACAAAAAAAUGUAAUUUUUUACCACAGCAACAAAUGAAGUAAAACUUGUAACAAAGUGCAUAUUAUUAUUAUUUUUUUUAAUGAGAAAAGGGAUGCUAUAUUUAGGUGUUGUUUGAUGGCAUUUAAAAUUUAGAGUUCACUAUUUUUUUUAUAAACAAAAUAAAAAAUAUUUAUGUUUAUUGUUUUUUAUAAAAUUAAAAAUAAAACACAUGUUUGACAAACAUGUAUUUUAAAAACUUAAUUUGAAAGAAGUGAGAGAAGUGGUUGGCAAAAAGUGAUUGUGACUGUCAGAGAUGGUUUUGGCUGGAAGUGGCCGUGGAAGAUAGAUGUUAAUGAUUAGAGAUAGGAAAAUGUUUGGUAAUUUAAAUUUGUAUAAUUUGAAUGUAACAAAAUAGCGUUAUUUUGAAAUAUUUAAACGAUUCAAAUCAUAAAAUUUUGGACCGCUAAACAUUAUUGUUAAAAAUAAUCGUUGGAAUUGUCCAUAAUUGGAGAUGAUACUUGACAGUGGAUACUAAUCACCAAAGGUGAUGGCUGAAGGUAAUUUCAGAAGGAGGUAGUGGCCCAAGGUCAUUGUCAAGGAUGUAGCGAAAGAUGAUUGCAGACCAUAAGAUGAGGUGACCACCACUGACCAACAAUGGUGGUGGUGGCCGUGGGUGCUGAUGAGUGAUGGGAGAAGAAGGAAAUAAUAAUUUGUUUUUUAUUAUUUAUUUAUUUAUUUAUAUUUAAAUAAGUAAAUCAAAUUUGUGUUUACAAAAAUUUAGUAAAGUUUAUAAAGUGGUUAGAAUUUUUUUCUAAAAAGAUUCAAACAACAAAAAAAUUUGUAUUCACAAUUUUCAAAGUUAUUAUAAAUACAAUUAAAAAACUAUAAACAUGAAUUUUAUCAAACAGGCCUUUAUUGUUUCAAGAGUUUUAAUAAUUAAUAUUGUAAAAUUUAUCACAUACCUAUAAUUAUAUAUAUUUUUUAAUUUUAAACUAAACUGAAUUUUCCUCUUUAACAAUCACACUACCAACUCCAAAUGUUAGGACAUUCAGGCAAGAAGUUUAUUUUCAAAAGAAUAAUAGUAUACAUAACUUAUUACUUAUAUUAUUUUUGCAUUCUCAAGUAUAAAGUAAUGUGGCUUACAUUUAUAAAAGUAUAUAAAACCUAUUCACUUGUCUGUUUGGAGUGAGAAAAUAAGGUAAAAAAUAUAAUUAUAUCUAGCAUUUUUAUUUUUGAAAAUUUUGGGCUAAUAUAUCCUAACUUUAAUCUUUUGGAAUGAAAAAGACAUUUAUAUGUCAAAAUUUUACCAUAUGUUUAUAAGUCAAUAUUUGCGUAUUGGUCAACAUGUCACUUAUUAAUACACAUCAUUUAUUUGUCUAUUUAUUAAUUUAAAUGUCAUCUAUGAGUACACAAGUCACUUAUUGUUUCAAUUAUUUGUCUAAUGACAUCUAUUAUUCACUUAACCGCCACUAGUCGUCGCCAGAAACUUUUCUAACUAAUUUUGUGACAACUUGUUUUGGAGACUUUUUCACGUAUAUCCUCGUGAGCCAAAAAAA